rnacentral:miRNA from 1 species
UGAUAGUCUGCGAUAUUCUUCAUUU